rnacentral:rRNA from 1 species
GAUGAACGCUAGCUACAGGCUUAACACAUGCAAGUCGAGGGGCAGCAUGGUCUUAGCUUGCUAAGGCCGAUGGCGACCGGCGCACGGGUGAGUAACACGUAUCCAACCUGCCGUCUACUCUUGGACAGCCUUCUGAAAGGAAGAUUAAUACAAGAUGGCAUCAUGAGUUCACAUGUUCACAUGAUUAAAGGUAUCCCGGUAGACGAUGGGGAUGCGUUCCAUUAGAUAGUAGGCGGGGUAACGGCCCACCUAGUCUACGAUGGAUAGGGGUUCUGAGAGGAAGGUCCCCCACAUUGGAACUGAGACACGGUCCAAACUCCUACGGGAGGCAGCAGUGAGGAAUAUUGGUCAAUGGGCGAGAGCCUGAACCAGCCAAGUAGCGUGAAGGAUGAAAGGUCCUACGGAUUGUAAAACUUCUUUUAUACGGGAAUAAAAGUAUCCUACGUGUAGGAUUUGUAUGUACCGUAUGAAUAAGCAUCGGCUAACU